rfam:Oryza sativa (indica cultivar-group) chromosome 10, whole genome shotgun sequence.
AAAAAAACAAACCUUAGGAUUCCGUGUUCAACGUUUAACCGUCCGUCUUAUUUAAAAAAAUUGUUAAAAAAAUUAAAAAGACAAAUCACACAUAAAAUAUUAAUCAUGUUUUAUCAUAUAACAACAAUAAAAAUAUUAAUUAUAAAAAUUUUUAUAUAAGAUAGAUAGUCAACGUUGGGCAUGGAAACCUAUAGUUUGUUUUUUU